rnacentral:rRNA from 1 species
AUUGCCUCAGUAACGGCGAGUGAAGCGGCAACAGCUCAAAUUUGAAAUCUGGUCCCCAGGGCCCGAGUUGUAAUUUGUAGAGGAUGCUUUUGGCACGGCGCCUUCCGAGUUCCCUGGAACGGGACGCCAUAGAGGGUGAGAGCCCCGUCUGGUCGGAUGCCUAGCCUCUGUAAAGCUCCUUCGACGAGUCGAGUAGUUUGGGAAUGCUGCUCAAAAUGGGAGGUAUAUGUCUUCUAAAGCUAAAUAUUGGCCAGAGACCGAUAGCGCACAAGUAGAGUGAUCGAAAGAUGAAAAGCACUUUGAAAAGAGGGUUAAACAGUACGUGAAAUUGUUGAAAGGGAAGCGCCUAUGACCAGACUUGGGCCCGGUGAAUCAUCCAGCGUUCUCGCUGGUGCACUUUGCCGGGCACAGGCCAGCAUCAGUUUGGCGCGGGGGAGAAAGGCUUUGGGAAUGUGGCUCCCUCGGGAGUGUUAUAGCCCAUUGUGCAAUACCCUGCGCCGGACUGAGGUACGCGCUCCGCAAGGAUGCUGGCGUAAUGGUCAUCAGCGACCCGUCUUGAAACACGGACCAAGGAGUCGUCUUCGUAUGCGAGUGUUCGGGUGUCAAACCCCUACGCGGAAUGAAAGUGAACGCAGGUGAGAGCUUCGGCGCAUCAUCGACCGAUCCUGAUGUUCUCGGAUGGAUUUGAGUAAGAGCAUACGGGGCCGGACCCGAAAGAAGGUGAACUAUGCCUGUAUAGGGUGAAGCCAGAGGAAACUCUGGUGGAGGCUCGCAGCGGUUCUGACGUGCGAAUCGAUCGUCAAAUAUGGGCAUGGGGGCGAAAGACUAAUCGAA